GACGAACGCUGGCGGCGUGCUUAACACAUGCAAGUCGAACGGAAAGGCCCUGCUUUUGUGGGGUGCUCGAGUGGCGAACGGGUGAGUAACACGUGAGUAACCUGCCCUUGACUUUGGGAUAACUUCAGGAAACUGGGGCUAAUACCGGAUAGGAGCUCCUGCUGCAUGGUGGGGGUUGGAAAGUUUCUGCGGUUGGGGAUGGACUCGCGGCUUAUCAGCUUGUUGGUGGGGUAGUGGCUUACCAAGGCUUUGACGGGUAGCCGGCCUGAGAGGGUGACCGGCCACAUUGGGACUGAGAUACGGCCCAGACUCCUACGGGAGGCAGCAGUGGGGAAUAUUGCACAAUGGGCGGAAGCCUGAUGCAGCAACGCCGCGUGCGGGAUGACGGCCUUCGGGUUGUAAACCGCUUUCGCCUGUGACGAAGCGUUAGUGACGGUAAUGGGUAAAGAAGCACCGGCUAACUACGUG
rnacentral:rRNA from 1 species